rnacentral:rRNA from 1 species
GACGAACGCUGGCGGCGUGCCUAAUACAUGCAAGUGGGACGCAAGGACACACACUGUGCUUGCACACCGUGUUUUCUUGAGUCGCGAACGGGUGAGUAACGCGUAGGUAACCUGCCUAUUAGCGGGGGAUAACUAUUGGAAACGAUAGCUAAUACCGCAUAAUAUUAAUUAUUGCAUGAUAAUUGAUUGAAAGAUGCAAGCGCAUCACUAGUAGAUGGACCUGCGCUGUAUUAGCUAGUUGGUAAGGUAAGAGCUUACCAAGGCGACGAUACAUAGCCGACCUGAGAGGGUGAUCGGCCACACUGGGACUGAGACACGGCCCAGACUCCUACGGGAGGCAGCAGUAGGGAAUCUUCGGCAAUGGACGAAAGUCUGACCGAGCAACGCCGCGUGAGUGAAGAAGGUUUUCGGAUCGUAAAGCUCUGUUGUAAGUCAAGAACGUGUGUGAGAGUGGAAAGUUCACACAGUGACGGUAGCUUACCAGAAAGGGACGGCUAACUACGUG